UGAGGGAAUAUUUGGGGUCAAUGGGCGCAGGCCUGAACCAGCCAAGUCGCGUGAGGGAGGACGGUCCUACGGAUUGUAAACCUCUUUUGUCGGGGAGUAACGUGCGGGACGGGUCCCGUAUUGAGAGUACCCGAAGAAAAGCAUCGGCUAACUCCGUGCCAGCAGCCGCGGUAAUACGGAGGAUGCGAGCGUUAUCCGGAUUCAUUGGGUUUAAAGGGUGCGUAGGCGGCUUGGUAAGUCAGCGGUGAAAUUCCAGUGCUCAACAUUGGCCGUGCCGUUGAUACUGCUGGGCUUGAAUGCGGAUGCCGUGGGAGGAAUGUGUGGUGUAGCGGUGAAAUGCAUAGAUAUCACACAGAACACCGAUUGCGAAGGCAUCUCACGAAUCCGCAAUUG
rnacentral:rRNA from 1 species